AUGGGUUACGUCUACGUCGAUGUCACCCCAAAUACAUACACGUCGGGCAUGAAAGUAGUCGACCCAGCUGAGACAAAGGAAACUGGCUACAUGGGAUUCGCACGACACAGGAUGACCUGUGGCAAAAAAAUGGCAUCAGGCCUUGCCGAGGCGCAUAAAAUGCUCAAAAACCGUGAUUAUCACAACGGCAUAAUCUUGUUCUUCUCUGAUGAAUUGAUAAACAAGGGCGACUUUUUUGAUGGAACCGACAACUUCAUCUCCAAAGUGCCUGUCCACACAUUUACUGUCGGUGGCGACACAUAUAACCAUGGUCUCCAAGCCAUCGCAACAAAUUCUCCAGGUGGGACAUUCAACGCAAUUCCAGUUCCAGAGAGACCGCAUCUCUCAGUGCCCUUCUCGAAACUACUGGAUAGCCUCCUUAGCGGCACAAUGGAGGACAGAAAUCAUCAAUAG
rnacentral:rRNA from 1 species